UACGAAGGGGGCUAGCGUUGUUCGGAAUUACUGGGCGUAAAGCGAACGUAGGCGGUGUUCCAUGUCAGAGGUGAGAGCCUGGGGCUCAACUCCAGAAUUGCCUUUGAAACGGGGACGCUUGAGUCCGAGAGAGGAUGGCGGAAUUCCUAGUGUAGAGGUGAAAUUCGUAGAUAUUAGGAAGAACACCGGUGGCGAAGGCGGCCAUCUGGCUCGGUACUGACGCUCAGGUUCGAAAGCGUGGGGAGCAAACAGG
rnacentral:rRNA from 1 species